rnacentral:rRNA from 1 species
CGUGACGGCGCGAGCAGGUGCGAAAGCAGGUCAUAGUGAUCCGGUGGUUCUGAAUGGAAGGGCCAUCGCUCAACGGAUAAAAGGUACUCCGGGGAUAACAGGCUGAUACCGCCCAAGAGUUCAUAUCGACGGCGUUGUUUGGCACCUCGAUGUCGGCUCAUCACAUCCUGGGGCUGAAGUAGGUCCCAAGGGUAUGGCUGUUCGCCAUUUAAAGUGGUACGCGAGCUGGGUUUAGAACGUCGUGAGACAGUUCGGUCCCUAUCUGCCGU